GAUGAACGCUGGCGGCGUGCCUAAUACAUGCAAGUCGAGCGAACAGACGAGGAGCUUGCUCCUCUGACGUUAGCGGCGGACGGGUGAGUAACACGUGGAUAACCUACCUAUAAGACUGGGAUAACUUCGGGAAUCCGGAGCUAAUACCGGAUAAUAUAUUGAACCGCAUGGUUCAAUAGUGAAAGACGGUUUUGCUGUCACUUAUAGAUGGAUCCGCGCCGCAUUAGCUAGUUGGUAAGGUAACGGCUUACCAAGGCAACGAUGCGUAGCCGACCUGAGAGGGUGAUCGGCCACACUGGAACUGAGACACGGUCCAGACUCCUACGGGAGGCAGCAGUAGGGAAUCUUCCGCAAAGGGCGAAAGCUUGACGGAGCAACGCCGCGUGAGUGAUGAAGGUCUUCGGAUCGUAAAACUCUGUUAUUAGGGAAGAACAAAUGUGUAAGUAACUAUGCACGUCUUGACGGUACCUAAUCAGAAAGCCACGGCUAACUACGUG
rnacentral:rRNA from 1 species